CCGGCUAACUACGUGCCAGCAGCCGCGGUAAUACGUAGGGUGCGAGCGUUAAUCGGAAUUACUGGGCGUAAAGCGUGCGCAGGCGGUUCUCCAAGUCCGUUGUGAAAUCCCCGGGCUCAACCUGGGAAUGGCAGUGGAAACUAGGGGACUUGAAUCUGGCAGAGGGGGGUGGAAUGCCACGUGUAGCAGUGAAAUGCGUAGAGAUGUGGCGGAACACCGAUGGCGAAGGCAGCCCCCUGGGCUAAGAUUGACGCUCAGGCACGAAAGCGUGGGGAGCAAACAGGAUUAGAUACCCUGGUAGUCCACGCCCUAAACGAUGUCAACUAGGUGUUGGGGAAGCGAUUUCCUAGUACCGCAGCUAACGCGUGAAGUUGACCGCCUGGGGAGUACGGUCGCAAGAUUAAAACUCAAAGGAAUUGACGGGGACCCGCACAAGCGGUGGAUGAUGUGGAUUAAUUCGAUGCAACGCGAAAAACCUUACCUACCCUUGACAUGUACGGAACCCUGCCGAGAGGUGGGGGUGCUCGAAAGAGAGCCGUAACACAGGUGCUGCA
rnacentral:rRNA from 1 species